rnacentral:rRNA from 1 species
AGAGUUUGAUCCUGGCUCAGGAUGAACGCUAGCGGCAGGCUUAAUACAUGCAAGUCGAACGGGAUUCAGUGUAGCAAUACAUUGAUGAGAGUGGCGCACGGGUGCGUAACGCGUAUGCAACCUACCUUUAACAGGAGAAUAGCCCCGAGAAAUCGGGAUUAAUACCCCGUAACAUUGCGGUGUGGCAUCACAUUGCAAUUAAAGAUUUAUCGGUUAAAGAUGGGCAUGCGUGACAUUAGCUAGUUGGUGAGGUAACGGCUCACCAAGGCAACGAUGUCUAGGGGUCCUGAGAGGGUUAUCCCCGACACUGGUACUGAGACACGGACCAGACUCCUAC